rnacentral:rRNA from 1 species
UAGGGAAUCUUCGGCAAUGGACGAAAGUCUGACCGAGCAACGCCGCGUGAGUGAAGAAGGUUUUCGGAUCGUAAAACUCUGUUGUUAGAGAAGAACAAGGACGUUAGUAACUGAACGUCCCCUGACGGUAUCUAACCAGAAAGCCACGGCUAACUACGUGCCAGCAGCCGCGGUAAUACGUAGGUGGCAAGCGUUGUCCGGAUUUAUUGGGCGUAAAGCGAGCGCAGGCGGUUUCUUAAGUCUGAUGUGAAAGCCCCCGGCUCAACCGGGGAGGGUCAUUGGAAACUGGGAGACUUGAGUGCAGAAGAAGGGAGUGGAAUUCCAUGUGUAGCGGUGAAAUGCGUAGAUAUAUGGAGGAAAACCAGUGGCGAAGGCGGCUCUCUGGUCUGUAACUGACGCUGAGGCUCGAAAGCGUGGGGAGCAAACAGG